AUUGAACGCUGGCGGCAUGCUUUACACAUGCAAGUCGAACGGUAACAGGCCUUCGGGUGCUGACGAGUGGCGAACGGGUGAGUAAUGCAUCGGAACGUACCCAGAGGUGGGGGAUAACGCAGCGAAAGCUGUGCUAAUACCGCAUGUGAUCUGAGGAUGAAAGCGGGGGACCGAGCAGCAAUGUUUGGCCUCGCGCCUUUGGAGCGGCCGAUGUCGGAUUAGCUAGUUGGUGGGGUAAAGGCCUACCAAGGCGACGAUCCGUAGCUGGUCUGAGAGGACGACCAGCCACACUGGGACUGAGACACGGCCCAGACUCCUACGGGAGGCAGCAGUGGGGAAUUUUGGACAAUGGGCGCAAGCCUGAUCCAGCAAUGCCGCGUGCGGGAAGAAGGCCUGCGGGUUGUAAACCGCUUUUGGCAGGAACGAAACGGUGUCCGCUAAUACCGGGCGCUAAUGACGGUACCUGCAGAAUAAGCACCGGCUAACUACGU
rnacentral:rRNA from 1 species